rnacentral:rRNA from 1 species
AGGAAGGCCCCCCACACUGGGACUGAGACACGGCCCAGACUCCUACGGGAGGCAGCAGUGAGGAAUAUUGGACAAUGGAUGGAAAUCUGAUCCAGCCAUGCCGCGUGCAGGAAGACGGCCUUAUGGGUUGUAAACUGCUUUUAUACGGGAGCAAUAAGGGUUACGAGUAAUCCGAUGAGAGUACUGUAUGAAUAAGGAUCGGCUAACUCCGUGCCAGCAGCCGCGGUAAUACGGAGGAUCCGAGCGUUAUCCGGAAUUAUUGGGUUUAAAGGGUGCGUAGGCGGCCAUUUAAGUCAGCGGUGAAAUUUUGCAGCUUAACUGUAACAGUGCCGUUGAUACUGUUUGGCUAGGAUUUGGUUGUAGUGUGCGGAAUGUGUGGUGUAGCGGUGAAAUGCUUAGAUAUCACACAGAACACCGAUUGCGAAGGCAGCACACUAAGUCAUUAUUGACGCUGAGGCACGAAAGUGUGGGGAUCAAACAGGAUUAGAUACCCUGGUAGUCCACACUGUAAACGAUGAUAACUCGCUGUCGGCGAUACACAGCCGGUGGCCAAGCGAAAGCAUUAAGUUAUCCACCUGGGGAGUACGACCGCAAGGUUGAAACUCAAAGGAAUUGACGGGGGCCCGCACAAGCGGAGGAACAUGUGGUUUAAUUCGAUGAUACGCGAGGAACCUUACCCGGGCUCGAACGGUGCAUGAAUAUACGAGAGAUUGUAUAGUCCUUCGGGACAUGUAUCGAGGUGCUGCAUGGUUGUCGUCAGCUCGUGCCGUGAGGUGUCGGCUUAAGUGCCAUAACGAGCGCAACCCUUGUCAUUAGUUGCCAUCAGGUCAAGCUGGGGACUUUAAUGAGACUGCCACCGUAAGGUGUGAGGAAGGGGGGGAUGACGUCAAAUCAGCACGGCCCUUAUGUCCGGGGCGACACACGUGUUACAAUGGGAGGUACAGAGGGCAGCUGUCCGGUGACGGAAUGCUAAUCUCCAAAACCUUUCUCAGUUCGGAUUGGAGUCUGCAACUCGACUCCAUGAAGGUGGAUUCGCUAGUAAUCGCGCAUCAGCCAUGGCGCGGUGAAUACGUUCCCGGGCCUUGUACACACCGCCCGUCAAG